GGGCCCGCACAAGCGGUGGAGCAUGUGGUUUAAUUCGAUGAUACGCGAGGAACCUUACCAGGGCUUAAAUGUAGGAUGCAUUAGCUAGAGAUAGCUAUUUCUUCGGACUUCUUACAAGGUGCUGCAUGGUUGUCGUCAGCUCGUGCCGUGAGGUGUCAGGUUAAGUCCUAUAACGAGCGCAACCCCUGUCGUUAGUUGCCAGCAUGUAAAGAUGGGGACUCUAACGAGACUGCCGGUGUAAACCGCGAGGAAGGUGGGGAUGACGUCAAAUCAUCACGGCCCUUACGUCCUGGGCUACACACGUGCUACAAUGGUAUGGACAAUGAGCAGCCACUAUGCGAAUAGGAGCGAAUCUACAAACCAUAUCACAGUUCGGAUCGGAGUCUGCAACUCGACUCCGUGAAGCUGGAAUC
rnacentral:rRNA from 1 species